rnacentral:rRNA from 1 species
AUUGAACGCUGGCGGCAUGCCUUACACAUGCAAGUCGAACGGCAGCACGGGUGCUUGCACCUGGUGGCGAGUGGCGAACGGGUGAGUAAUACAUCGGAACGUACCUUAUCGUGGGGGAUAACGCAGCGAAAGCUGUGCUAAUACCGCAUACGCCCUGAGGGGGAAAGCGGGGGAUCGAAAGACCUCGCGCGAUUAGAGCGGCCGAUGCCUGAUUAGCUUGUUGGUGGGGUAAAAGCCCACCAAGGCGACGAUCAGUAGCUGGUCUGAGAGGACGAUCAGCCAGACUGGGACUGAGACACGGCCCAGACUCCUACGGGAGGCAGCAGUGGGGAAUUUUGGACAAUGGGGGCGACCCUGAUCCAGCAAUGCCGCGUGAGUGAAGAAGGCCUUCGGGUUGUAAAGCUCUUUUGUCAGGGAAGAAACACCGGCUCUAACACAGUCCGGGAAUGACGGUACCUGAAGAAUAAGCACCGGCUAACUACGUGCCAGCCGCCGCCGUAA